GGGGCCGAGGGGGUGGUGAUGUGGCCGAAUAGCCUCGGCGGGACUUCCGGUUGCAGUGGAGGUGCCGGCAGCGCCGAUCUCGGAGGCCUCGCAGCCUCCACCACCUCGGCCUCCGAAUUAUUUGGCCCUGGUGCAUUUGGUACUUCCGCGGCUGGGCCUUACGGUGCUCUCAAAACCAACCCUUACGUUAGUGCCCUGGGUAUGCCACCGAUCGAGGCCCUUCAUUCGACCAUCGGCUAUCCGGCUUGUACACCCGCCGGUGAGUCAUACUACUGUAAUCCCAGGAAACAACGGAGAGAGCGAACGACUUUCACGAGAGCACAGCUCGAUAUUCUCGAAGGACUAUUCUCCAAGACGAAGUAUCCUGACAUUUUUAUGCGCGAGGAAGUAGCGAUGAAGAUCAACUUGCCGGAAUCUAGAGUCCAAGUGUGGUUUAAAAAUCGACGUGCCAAAUGUAGACAACAACAAAAACAACAAGAACAGCAACAAGAUAAGGCACCGAGAUCGAAGAAACCUUCGGGAAAUCCUACGAGUAAUCCACCUCCUGGAAAGAGUCCUUCGAUCGCUACCACACCCACGCCAGCUGCGGCUGUACCAGCUACGACUCCCCUAAGCGGAGGUACCGGAGGAUCAGCAGCUAGUUCGCCAGCCCUUUUAAGGGACUCACCUCAAUAUAAGCCUGCUGGGCCCGCCACUAGUUUACUUUUGGCUGCAAAUACCACGCCUCCGAGCUUGAGUGGUACGGUGUAUAGUAGCGGAGGAAGUAGCAGCAGUAUUUGGAGUCCUGCUGUAACGGAAAAUGGUGGGUUCGCGGGAGAUCAUCAGAGGUUAGCGUGGACAACAACAGCGUCUCAACAGCAAUGCUAUCAAAAUUAUUCUUCUUAUUACACCAACAUGGAGUACUUGUCUCCUGCAUCGCAUCAAUUGAACGUUGUGGACGGAGGUGGAAGUGGAUUGGACAAUACGUGGAGCAAAACAAGAGACGAGAGCGCUUCUUCCUGGUUUUACAAUACUGCUGGCUGGGGUGACCGAAAGUGAACAUUAAGAGGAAAAUAAAUGAAGAAAUAUAAAGGAGUCAAACGCUAUCCGAACGAAUUAUCUAUUUAAGUGAACAAGAAGAAAGAAAGAAAGAAUAAGAGAGAUAGGAUUUGAACAUUUCAAUAAUGGUUUAUCGUACUUCUCUAAGCGAGUCGAAGUUCUAUCGUUAAAUAGCAUACAAAUUGACAAAUACAACUUCUUCUUCUUCUUCUUCUUCUUCCUCUUCUGUAUUGAUGUUCACAAAUUUUCAGAUACGUACGUUUCUUGGACGUAAUUCGCGAGGAUCAAGGAGAACGUAUUUAUUAUUUUUGACAAUCAUUACUAUCGUAAUACUAUCAUCAACGUUCGACGUAAAGAUCCUCUCGUCCGUUACGUACGAUUGUUGUUAAUUUUUCUCUAUCCUACUUUUUUGAGAUUAAUUUUAUUUCACGUCAAUAAUUUUUUGACUUACGAUAAAUUUUCCAAUUAUAGAUAUUUAUCAUGGAUUGGAAAAUUUAUCAUCGGUCGGUAAAAAAAAAUUGUUUCCGAUGAUAAAGAAGUAUCGUUACGAAGCACGUACGAUAAACCUCGAUGAUUUUCGCGACGUGCAAAUCCGUUUUUAAUGUAAGCUAGCAGAAAUUGAGGAUUAAUAUGUAAAGUAUAAAAAAACAAAAUCCAAGUAUAUAUGUAUACAUAUACAUAUAUGUAUAAAUAUAUACGAUUAAUGUAGGAUUGUAAGUACAUAUGUGACUGUUUAGACCGUUGUUACAUAAAAUAUAAUACGUAAUGAUACGAAUAAGGAAAGAACAACGAUGAACAUGUCUUAAAAUGUAUGAAAAUAAUAUAUCGAAUUUGAAUUGUAAA
rnacentral:misc_RNA from 1 species